UCCAUUCCUAACCCCAAAGCCGAAGCCACCGUGCACCUCACCAUAACCACCAGCAUCAGCCCCAAUAUGACCAUUAAAGUCCCCUCCAAUAACUAACUGCUCAGAUUGGGGAAUACUACUCACCAUAUCAUCCAAGUCCUCCCAAAAGCGCCUCUUAACCUCCCCGUUUAAGCCCGAUUGCGGUGCGUAAGCGCUGAUG
rnacentral:lncRNA from 1 species